rnacentral:misc_RNA from 1 species
GAUUUAUCCAAAAUAAUAAUAAUCCCCUCUCUCUCUCUCUCUCCACGUUGGCUUUGGGAAUCGCAAAGGCAAAGCAGAAGGUGUCGUGUCGUCUGCCAUUCUCUGGCAACAAUUUAUCGCAGAAGCUUGUGUUAAAUUAAAUGGAAGAACUCAGAACCUAAAGCAUUUCUCCCGGACGCAAAAGCGCUUUUUUUUGCCCUUUCAUUGGAGAGUUUCGGAUCGUGUAACCGAGAGUUUGGGGGGGAUUUCUUAGUGCAUAUGGCUGAUUCAUUGAAGGAAGAGCUGUUGCAGCUGAUCAAGC